rnacentral:rRNA from 1 species
AUCGAACGCUGGCGGCAGGCUUAACACAUGCAAGUCGAACGCCCCGCAAGGGGAGUGGCAGACGGGUGAGUAACGCGUGGGAAUCUACCGUGCCCUGCGGAAUAGCUCCGGGAAACUGGAAUUAAUACCGCAUACGCCCUACGGGGGAAAGAUUUAUCGGGGUAUGAUGAGCCCGCGUUGGAUUAGCUAGUUGGUGGGGUAAAGGCCUACCAAGGCGACGAUCCAUAGCUGGUCUGAGAGGAUGAUCAGCCACAUUGGGACUGAGACACGGCCCAAACUCCUACGGGAGGCAGCAGUGGGGAAUAUUGGACAAUGGGCGCAAGCCUGAUCCAGCCAUGCCGCGUGAGUGAUGGAGGCCCUAGGGUUGUAAAGCUCUUUCACCGGUGAAGAUAAUGACGGUAACCGGAGAAGAAGCCCCGGCUAACUUCGUGCCAGCCGCCGCCGUAACAC